rnacentral:rRNA from 1 species
AUUGAACGCUGGCGGCAGGCCUAACACAUGCAAGUCGAACGAGUGGCGGACGUGUGAGUAAUGUCUGGGAACCUGCCUGAUGGAGGGGGAUAACUACUGGAAACGGUAGCUAAUACCGCAUACCAUCAGAUGUGCCCAGUUGGGCUGAGCUUGUUUGUGGGGUAACGGCUCACCAAGGCGACGAUCCCUAGCUGGUCUGAGAGGAUGACCAGCCACACUGGAACGGAGACACGGUCCAGACGCCGACGGGAGGCAGCAGUGGGGAAUAUUGCAAAAUGGGCGCAAGCCUGAUGCAGCCAUGCCGGGUGUAUGAAGAAGGCCGUCGGGUUGUAAAGGACGUUCAGCGGGGAGGCGUUACCCGCAGAAGAAGCACCGGCUAACGCCGUGCCAGCCGCCGCGGUAAUUC